CGUUGCAUGUGUUUAUUUCACAACGUGCAAGCAGUGCAAGUGUGAGUUUCAGACUGUGUUAAUGGUCUUUCGAUGAUGGCUUUGGCUGCAGUGCAUGUAUUUAAUUCUGUGGAAGGUUUCGGCGUAUGUGAUUAUUUCUUGCUUCUUAAAGUGUGUGGUAGGAAGGGAAGGACCAUCCUGCAGUUGGAACCUGAGACUUGGAAUUAAACACUUGCAGAGCUGUAAACAUGGGGAGCUUGUCAGAAAUGUGGAUGUCUGAUAUUACUGAUAUUACUUUUUUUUUUUGCUUAACUGGUGCUUUAUUUUCACUAUCAAGUCCACAGAGAGAGAACAUCAGGACGUAUCCGUGGGAUUACUUGGAGGAACUCCUGACGCUUCAGCAUUCCUGCCUUGGUCAGGCAAAGCACGGCGGCAGGUUGGGGGUCCUCAGCACAAGGGGAGGCACGUGCUCAUUCACUGCUCUUCCUGCACUGUGCCUUUAUUGAGCUUCCACUUUCUGAUACACUGUUCAUUACGUGUACGUGAGCCUUUCAUGUCCGCCCGAGGCUUUCUGUAGGACUCCAUUCACUUCUGGGAAUGACUGCAUGGUUAUGUAGUCUGAAGUAGGAAGUUUUUUGGAAGCAGAAGUGUCCCAAAUGGGAGCGAUACCUAAAAAGAACUGCAUUCUCUAAUUUAGCCCCAAAGCCUUUUUGUGGUUAAAUAAAAAUGGGAAGUAAUUUCUUCUGCACGUUGAAAGCUGCCUUCUUAGCAAAUGAGCGCUCCUGAGCUCUGUAGUGUAUACUCAUCCCACUGCAAAUGUAGAUCCAUUUCAUGGUAAAUGGGACUAAAAAUAUCCUUAUGAUUGCCACGUAUCUGUGACUGCGCGUAGCCUAACCCUCAUCUAAUUACUGGAAAAAGCCUUUAGCUGGCACUUGUAACUUUUAGUAGAUGCUGGAAGAAGAUGAGGUGGAGAAAAGGAUUUCAUGAGCUCGGAAGGUGAGUGUGCCAUGCGUUCAAUGACUUCCAUUUAAAGUAUUAGCAUUGAUGUGGCCUUACAAUAACAUAGAACGCUUAACAGUCCCUGUAAGAAUUUCUGGUCCUUAAUUGUGGGCCUGAAGUGCCAAAAAAGGAGAAUGAUGGGCAGUGCAGUGCCAUGCUCAAUCUUCCUAUGAAUGUCAGAUAGUAUAGAAAACAAUGAUUCUUUAUUCAGGUUUGUUUAAUGCUUUUAAUCUGUAGAUGAACUAUUGGAUUUUGAUACAUGCUGAACUGUAGGCAUUGUGAUUUUGAAUAUUCACCAUUUGAAGCCAAGCAAUGAUUGUUCU
ensembl:lncRNA